AGUUCCAUGGUGCAAUGGUGAGCACUCUGGACUCUGAAUCCAGCGAUCCGAGUUCAAAUCUCGGUAGAACCC
rnacentral:tRNA from 1 species